UACGUAGGCAGCAAGCGUUGUCCGGAUUUACUGGGCGUAAAGGGAGCGUAGGCGGAUAUUUAAGUGGGAUGUGAAAUCCCCGGGCUUAACCCGGGAGCUGCAUUCCGAACUGGAUAUCUAGAGUGCAGGAGAGGAGAGUGGAAUUCCUAGUGUAGCGGUGAAAUGCGUAGAGAUUAGGAAGAACACCAGUGGCGAAGGCGACUCUCUGGACUGUAACUGACGCUGAGGCUCGAAAGCGUGGGGAG
rnacentral:rRNA from 1 species